CUUGUUGGCACCGAGGGCUCCAAAAUCUUUUCUUAUUUUGCAGGUUUUCAAGAGAGUACAAAAGCAACUUGGUACAUCCCUUCUUGCAGCUUGACGGGAGACAUAUAGAGUAUUCCUAAGCGAGCUUGAUCGACGAGCCAUAUCCCCACUUUGCAACAUGCGAGCGAGAAUAUGGUACAUCUCAGCCUUGUGACUUGGUGAGAAACAGGCUUGGAGCUCGAGCGACCAUAUUUCAUCCUUGGCGAGUGAGUGCGACAUGUACCAUAUCACAUUGUUGCAGGCUGGCGAGGGAGACAACUGGAGUAGGCUUUUCCAACUUCGGCGAGCAAGCACUUGACUUGCGAAGAAGUUCGAUGAGUCCAGAUAUCAGUCUGAGAUGUCAUACAAGAUGCGGAGUCACCCCUUCACCAACUGUUGCACUUGAUUUCUUGACGGUCUUGAAGUUUAUCAAUGGCGGCUCCCGUGGUGAUUGAAGGUUUUUUUCAACAGAGAUGACUUCUUAUAUACGAGGCAUUGAGGAUAGUGUAUAAAAAUAUGGAGACGUCAUAUGGACUUGGAAGAUGCACUCAAGACGAGUCAGCCACAAAGCCUAGUUUACGAUCAUUUUCAUGACUUAGGCUUUUGUAUAGGAAACGUCUAAUUCCUUUUGUCUCUAUAUUUUUUUGAUGUAUCAACUUUUGUACUAUUGAAUCAAUAAAACAUCUUUUAUACUUCAAAGAAAAUUGUCUCUUUUCCUCAUA